ensembl:lncRNA
AAUAUUUGUUAUUUUUAUGCUACUCCUGCAGUAUUUGUGCUGUAGACAUUUUAUUUCUAAGUGACCUGACUAACUAAUCUGACUUGUUUUCAUCUGGCAGGUGAUAAAAGCAGAAAAAACAUGCGUUUCAAUCAUGCUGAGCCGACUUUUCUCCUCAUUUUUUAUGCAUUUUUUUUUUCAGCAAAUUCAUUUCAGCAAAACCCACAAACUAAACUCAAAUAAGGAUUCAUAAGUUAGCCCCGUUUUAGUUAUGCACAUAUUCAAAUAUGCACACUCAUCAUCAAUAUGAGAUGCAGCGUCAGAUUGUGGCUUUUAUGUAAUGGACUCAUUUCGAGAAGGUUUGAUAUUCAGAGUCUGUUUACAGUCUCUCUGAUGGGAGAACGGCUGAGGAAGUGGGUAAAUACACUGGUUUGCCCACUGCUGUGCUGUGAAACACCAUGAAUUAAACAUGUGAGGCAUUCUGGGAGAUCGGAGAGCAGUGGCUUGGGUGUGAAGACUCAUUUCUGACUGACUGCAAGUUUAAGAGUGGGGCAGCGAGGUUUGGUUAAGGACACAUUUUUAAGCAGAAAGAGCAAUAUAUAUAUUCAUUCAUUUAUUAUAUGCAUUUAAGUUGUUUUUGAUUAUUUUUGUCAUGCAGGUGGAAAAUGAUACCCAAAACUUAUCAAUGCUGGUGUGAAAUUGCAUGAUCAGCAUAUCUGAUGCACUGUAGCCUGCAGCUGCAAACACCAUUGAUGCCAUUUUACAAACCCACUAAAUGAAUGGAUGGUGCAUCCCGUGAAUCUCACAUCAUUCAAACUGAAGACUGAACGUGUGUCCUGUUAAAGUGCUCGCAGGGGGAAUCUGAACAGCGCUCGUGGGAUUUAUCCACAGUAUGUGACAGAGAGAAGAAAGUGAUUUAUGGAGCUGUUUGUUAUUCAGAGUCUGGCCUUUGCUGCUUAUUACUGGUUUAAACAGCAUGUGUGACAGUGGAAGCUAAUGAGCAUCUCACAAAAACACCUUCAGACUGGAGAAAAAGAUCAGAGAUGGAUCUUGAAAGUAUGCGCGACAGAAGAAGAGUUUUCUCUCUGCUCAUCCCGUGCAUCCGUGCGUGUGCCGACUCCGAGUGUUGCCACGAUGAUGCUGGAGAAUCAAACGGAGGGUUUGUUGAACCGAAGGCUGUGAGGAAGGAUGUUUGCGUCUGUGCUUGAAGCGACAGAUUCAGUGUGAACGAAUGCAGAGCGACGCAGCUCUCUGCUGUCGUUCACCAGCACACACGCUUCAAACCACCCUGAACAUGCAUGAAGGGCAGAGGAACAGGGGACUGAGGCAUGAUGGGAAACGACUGAAAGCGGGUCAGUCAGCUUUAAAUUGUGUUUUAUUAUUACAUGCAGAUAUGCAUUUCUUGGGGAUCUGCUCUGUUUCCCAUGAUGCAGCAGUAAUGCUGACACAUCAGAUUACUUCUCAUGUGACGUCGCAGCAAGGACAAUGACAGCUAGUGCUAACAGAGCAUAAAUAGAAAAUAUGUAUGUUUGUAUGUAUGUGUUUAGGGAGGUUUAUAAAAUGUAUUACAUUUUAAAAUAAAAUGGAUAAAAUAUAAAAUAAAAUAUUUUCU